AGAAUGCUCAACUAACUCAGUCCUUCUCCUGACAGUGGGGAGGGCUGGGAGAAGGACUCCAUUUCUUAAGUUGCUCAUAUGGACUUUUCACGAGUUAUUCCAGACUGGCUGCAGAAAACA